rnacentral:ncRNA from 1 species
UUAAAUGCAAUGAUGGAGAUAAGGAUAUCCAGCUUAUUUACAGAGAGUUGGGAAAGGUGGGAGCCAACAAUAAGUAGAUAUGUAAUAUUCACUCUAGAGCAGAUUCGUUGAACGAAUUUUCAAUUCAAAUAGACGAAUUCGAAGACCCAUCGUUAUAGGGGAUAGGACUGUUAGGUCUGAUUUAAGUGAUGACUUUAUAGCUAAGUCAUAAUUAGGGUGGUACCGCGGAUAUAAUAAAUCUUUCGUCCCUAUC